AGAAACCCGAUUGAACUCAUUUUUGUCCAAAGCGCAAAAUAAGGCAUUCAUAGCCUUUGCGUUUAAAGAAAAAUACUUCUUCUCUAAAUCCGACCAUUCGUUCAUCGGUUUAGAGGGAAGUUGAAAACCGUUUUCAACGAUAUUCCAUAAAUCCAGAUUUAGAGAAAUCAAGAAAACUCUCAUUCGAGUUUUCCAAUAAGUGUAGUCCAAUCCGUUAAAGAACGGUGGACGAAAGACCGAAAAGCCCUCUUGAAGAGCCAUAUCUCUCGGGUGUAAAUCCGAAAUGAGAAAUACCCCGC
rnacentral:lncRNA from 1 species